CCCCCUACGGGAGGCAGCCGUGAGGAAUCUUGUUCAAUUGGCUGGAUCCUGAACCAGCCAAGCCGCGUGAAGGAAGAAGGCGCCAGGCGUCGUAAACUUCUUUUGUCGGGGAACAAAGGGGGCCACGCGUGGCGUUGUGAGUGUACCCGAAGAAAAAGCAUCGGCUAACUCCGUGCCAGCAGCCGCGGUAAUACGGAGGAUGCGAGCGUUAUCCGGAUUUAUUGGGUUUAAAGGGUGCGUAGGCGGUCCGGAAAGUCAGCGGUAAAAGCCCGGGGCUCAACCCCGGCGAGCCGUUGAAACUGUCG
rnacentral:rRNA from 1 species